UCAAGGCAGUUAAAUGCUUUGUAAUUGGAAUGAUAGAAAUUUAAACACUUUUUAAAUUAUCAAUUGGAGGGCAAGUCUGGUGCCAGCAGCCGCGGUAAUUCCAGCUCCAAUAGCGUAUAUUAAAAUUGUUGCAGUUAAAAAGAUCGUAGUUGAAUAUCUGUUAAAAAUAACCGGUCUGCUUUUAUUAAAAGUGGUAUCUUGGUGUGUUUUUAGCAAUAAUGUCCUUUGAAAUGUUUUUUACUUUAUUGUAAUAAAUAAUAUUCAGGAUUUUUACUUUGAGAAAAUUAGAGUGUUUCUAGCAGACUAACGCUUUGAAUACUGCAGUAUGGAAUAAUAAAAUAGGAUUUUAGUUCUACAUUAUUGGUUUUAAGAACUAAAUUAAUGAUUGAUAGGGACAGUUGGGGGCAUUUGUAUUUAACUGUCAGAGGUGAAAUUCUUAGAUUUGUUAAAGACAAACUACUGCGAAAGCAUUUGCCAAAGAUGUUUUCAUUAAUCAAGAACGAAAGUUAGGGGAUCGAAGA
rnacentral:rRNA from 1 species